rnacentral:rRNA from 1 species
GACGAGCCUCACGAACGUUAUUCGGAAUUACUGGGCUUAAAGGGUGCGUAGGCGGCGCGGAAAGUAGGGUGUGAAAUCCCUCGGCUCAACCGAGGAACUGCGCUCUAAACUACCGUGCUCGAGGGAGAUAGAGGUAAGCGGAACUUUAGGGUGGAGCGGUGAAAUGCGUUGAUAUCCUAAGGAACACCGGUGGCGAAAGCGGCUUACUGGAUCUCUUCUGACGCUGAGGCACGAAAGCUAGGGUAGCGAACGGGG